AGUGAACGCUGGCGGUAGGCCUAACACAUGCAAGUCGAACGGCAGCACAGUAAGAGCUUGCUCUUACGGGUGGCGAGUGGCGGACGGGUGAGGAAUACAUCGGAAUCUACUUUUUCGUGGGGGAUAACGUAGGGAAACUUACGCUAAUACCGCAUACGACCUACGGGUGAAAGCAGGGGAUCUUCGGACCUCGCGCGAUUGAAUGAGCCGAUGUCGGAUUAGCUAGUUGGCGGGGUAAAGGCCCACCAAGGCGACGAUCCGUAGCUGGUCUGAGAGGAUGACCGGAAACAGGGGGAAUGAGAUGCGGCCAAGACUCGGAGGGGAGGAAGGAGUGGGGAAUAGGGAAAAAUGGGAGGAAGCCGGAUGAAGCAACGACGAGUGCGGGAUGACGGCCGUCGGGGUGUAAACAGCUGGCGCCUGUGACGAAGCGGGAGGGACGGUAAUGGGUAAAGAAGGACCGGCUAACUACGUG
rnacentral:rRNA from 1 species